ACAAAAAUCAGCCCCUUCAGUGCCCAGCCUCGCCGCUGGGGUAAAAGGAAAUCGGGUGCAAGUCCCGAGCGAUCCGGUCACUGUAAGCGGGGAGUCCGCCGCAGGAUGCCAUUGCCUGGCCAACAAGGCCGGGUGAGAAGGCGCGGCGGGCGCCGAUCCGCAAGCCAGGAAGCCUGCUGAGGGAGCCAUGGUGGG
rfam:Ruminococcaceae bacterium D16 genomic scaffold acsPy-supercont2.1, whole genome shotgun sequence.